ACCUUUAGAAGAAAUCAUCAUUAUGGCACUAGAUCUGAAUGACUCCGCUCUUCUAAUUUGCAGGACACUUGUUCAGUUCAGUUCAGUUCAGUUUAGUCGCUCAGUUGUGUCCAACCCUGUGAUCCCAUGAACUGCAGCGCACCAGGCCUCCCUGUCCAUCACCAACAGCCAGAGUCUACCCAAACCCAUAUCCAUUGAGUCAGUGAUGCCAUCCAACCAUAUCAUCCUCUGUUGUCCCCUUCUCCUCCUGCCCUCAAUCUUUCCCAGCAUCAGGGCCUUUUCAAACGAGUCAGCUCUUCGCAUCACGUGGUCAAAGUAUUGGAGUUUCAGCUUCAACAUCAAUCCUUCCAAUGAUCAUCCAGGACUGAUCUCCUUUAGGAUGGACUGGUUGGAUCUCCUUGCAGUCCAGGGGACUCUCAAGAGUCUUCUCCAGCACCACAGUUCAAAAGGACACUUGUACAGUACAGUAAACCAGGUCACCAGGAACCUUUGUCCAUCAACGAACCCGGGCUCAUCAAGAAACUCCACCAUUCUCUAUUUAUACUUAGAACAUAUGAGUUCUUCAGUCACCUUGGAAGAAGAAGCAACAGCUGGAGGCUAUUACAUCACAUCUUCUCUACUUUAGCCCAGAAGUGGCACAUAACUUUUAUCCACAGCCCACAGUCUAGAACAAGUUACAUACCUACAGGUAGAAGGAUAGGAAUGUCAAGGACAUAAAGUAGAAUGUUUGGUAACCACCACUCUCUGUGUCACAUUAAAAAUCACACACUAUAGGGGACAUUCUUGGCUGUCCAGUGGUUGGGACUCAUGCUUCCAUUGCAGAGGGCACGGGUUCAAUCCUUGGUCAGGAAACUAAAAUCCCUCUUGGAAUGGCAGAAAAAAAAAAUCACACUCUAUACAUAACGUUAUUCCUCUCUUUGUGCUUAAAAUUAUAAGCAUUUUUGCACAUCCUUAAAUCUCUUCAUAAACACAUAAAUAUGACCCUCUGUUAUUUAGUCAUUGUUUUACUAUUAUCAAUAUUGCUGUGUGCCUGGCAAUUUCCUAAGUACUUUAUGGGCAAUGUUUUCAUUCAAUUCUCACAACUACUCUAUGAGGAAGAUACAAUAGUAUAACCACUUUAUGGUUCUGAAAAUGGAGGCCUAAUGAGUAAAUUUUCCAAGGACACACAAUAAGUAAGUGGCAGAUCUGAGACUCUCACAGAGAACUGUCAGACGUUCAAGCCCAUGCUCUUAACCAAUGAGUGUAAACUAAAGAACUGCGGUCCAAGUGUAAAACACAACACUGCUGCACUGGGUUACUGACCAGAAAGUGCAACAUCACAGGGGUAGGAAAGGAUUCAUCAGACCAUAAGGAACUGUUGUUACAGGUUAACUUACAAACAAUAGAAACAAUGACAGAUGAAAAUUCGAACCCAACAGAAGAUUGAUCAAAUUUUCGAAUUCUUUUUGUUUCCCUGUGAAGUAUUUCAAAAGAUGACUGGCCUCUUUGAACUCAUUAAGGUCUCUAGAUUCUUAGAUUAUGUUGGAAGGAGGGG
rnacentral:lncRNA from 1 species